CAACAUCUAGAUUAUCCUCACAAGACAAUAAUACAAAAGCUACAACAUAAUCCAACAGCAGCCUCCAAGUGAAUACAUAAUCAUGUUAUUCUUAAGUUAAUCCUUCGGCUCCGGCACUCACUGGAACAUAAAAAACGGUGACUCUUGAUCGAUCAAUACUCGGGCUAACCUGCCUCGAUCUAUCAGUGCUGCCAACACGUUCCAUUUCCCUUGACUGUUCUCCGGCAGAACGAACCAUUGCGGGUUGGUGCUCCACAAAUGGAUGUACCCGUACUGUCAUAGUUCGAGAUUCGCGGAAUAAAAUAAUUGCUGCUGCUGUGGCUGCCACUAUAUUUUAAGUGCUGCCUACACCUUCCAUUUCCAUUAACUGUUCUCUUGCAGGGAGUACCAUUGCAG
rnacentral:lncRNA from 1 species